rnacentral:misc_RNA from 1 species
UUAUCAUAAGAAUUUUUAAUAAAUGUUUAUUAUCGUGCACUUGUUAUGUACAAAAUGUAAUCUCAUUUGGCGACGUGGAGGAAAUUGUUAAAGGAAGCGAAACGUGAAUUUAUAGAUUAGGCUGGUCGGAUUGUGGUGGAUGCGAUCUGAUGUAUUCAAGAGCCCUUUGAAUCAACGGAGAAACAACUGGAAUAUGUUCGCCCUGUGGUUGGAAUCCGUUAUGAUCGGCAACGUAUGUCACCUUAAUUGGUGUACCAUCAGGGGAUGUAUAUUGAUACUGUCCUUGGGUAACAACAACGGGAAUAAGAGUAAGAUCCGUCAGGCGAAAUAUCUUGAGAUUGUUUGACGAUAACUGGUUGAUGCUCAGACACAUCAGCCGAAGCCAUAGCCAACAUAGCAACAGAGAUCACUACCUAAAACAAAAG